GAUAAAUGUAACAGUUUGGCAAUUGAGACGCAGACUGCGGAGAAACAUGACGAGUCAAACUUCUCUGAGUGACUGAUCCCAACCAGACACACCAACAGGUGGAUAUGGAGAGUGGAGCUCUGGGAAUUGACACCAGCGCUGCUCCAGAUCCCGGAGCGCACUCAGACUGCGGCAAAGCCUUUCUGCGGCGUCAAGCCUGGGCCCAUAGCAAAGACUCCCUGUGGCAAGAAUCAGAACAAGAACAAAAUGGCCCCCAGGAGCCCGAUCAGGGCCAGAGAGACGAGGAUGCACAGAGAACCUCAGAAGA